rnacentral:lncRNA from 1 species
GUUCUCUGAGAUGAUGGACCAAGUCCAAAGAAGUUUUCCCAGACUACUGUUAUUCUUUAUUCAGCACUGGGGAGCACAGGUGUCUUACUGCCUUCCAAACUACAGCACAAGGGCCAUAUUCUGGGGAAGCUGCUGUCUUUUGGAAUUGCAUGAUUCAGACAUCGAAGCAGCUCCACCUUUUCUGAAGGUCUCUCUGAAGAAAAUAUUGGCUGACACUGGUCAGUACACUUCUGAACAACACUCCUCAUCAUGCCAAAAGCACUUUUUCUGCAGUCAGCUGUACAGAACUACUGAAGAUUUAUUAGAACUGGAUUUUCUUCUAAUGAAAACACUAACCUAAGUAGCAUCAUACGUUAUAUUCAAAUGUAACACAGAGGUGAAUUCAUUUUCCACAUCUUGUAUAACAAUUAAACAGGGAACAGUUUUUCUUUUUCUUUUUCUUUUUCUUUUUCUUUUUCUUUUUCUUUUUCUUUUUCUUUUUCUUUUUCUUUUUCUUUUUCUUUUUCUUUUUCUUUUNNNNNNNNNNNNNNNNNNNNNNNNNNNNNNNNNNNNNNNNNNNNNNNNNNUUUUCCUUUUCCUUUUUUUUCACUGUAAAUUAACAUCAUGGUUCAGGCAGACACCUGUACCUGCUUUCAAAAGAUUGUGGGUUAUACUAUUCUACUAUUCAUAAAACACUGGUUUCAGCAUGCCCUAAUCUGUUCUGAUUUUGAAAAAAUACCACUUCGCUACUGAAUUAAUGCAGAAGAAUACAGUGGUGAACACCAAUGUAACAAGAGGCAACAGACAGAAAAUGAAGCACAGGAAGUUCCAUACUAACACCAGGAAGAACAACUUUACUGUCAGAGUGAUGGAGCACUGGAGGCUGCUCAGAGAGGUUGUGAAUUCUUCUCUGGAGAUAUCCAAGACCUGCCUGGAUGCUUACCUGUGUGGCCUGUUGUAGGGAACCUGUUUCAGCAGGAAGUUGUACUAGAUGAUCUCUAGAGGCGCCUUCCAAUCCCUACAAUUCUGUAAUUCUGUGAUUCUGUAAUACCUGUCAUAAGUGCUAGUUUUUUUCUGAAAAGGGAAAGAAAUUCAUUUGAAAAUCAAACAAUAAAUAAAUACAAAAUCAUUAGUUUUAUGUGGCU